GCUGGCGGCCAUACCGCGACUAAUCCACCGGAUCUCUUUCGAACUCCGAAGUUAACCGUCGCAGGGCCCGGUCAGUACUGGGGUGGGGGACCGCCUGGGAAGCCCUUCGGGUGCUGCCAGCU
rnacentral:rRNA from 1 species